rnacentral:rRNA from 1 species
AGAGUUUGUUCUGGCUCCAGGAUGAACGCUAGCGGCAGGCUUAACACAUGCAAAUCGAGGGGCAGCAUUCCCAGCAAUUGAUGAUGGCGACCGGCGGAAGGGUGCGUAACGCGUGAGCAACAUGCCCUAUACAGGGAGAUACACCAGGGAAACUUGGUCUAAUAUCCCAUAGCAUUCAUUGAAGGCAUCUUUAAUGAAUUAAAGCUUCGGUGGUAUAGGAUUGGCUCGCGUGACAUUAGCCAGAUGGUGAGGUAACGGCUCACCAUAGCAAUGAUGUCUAGGGGUUUUGAGAGGAAGGCCCCCCACACUGGGACUGAGACACGGCCCAGACUCCUACGGGAGGCAGCAGUGAGGAAUAUUGGACAAUGGAUGGAAAUCUGAUCCAGCCAUGCCGCGUGCAGGAAGACGGCCUUAUGGGUUGUAAACUGCUUUUAUACGGGAGCAAUAAGGGUUACGAGUAAUCCGAUGAGAGUACUGUAUGAAUAAGGAUCGGCUAACUCCGUGCCAGCAGCCGCGGUAAUACGGAGGAUCCGAGCGUUAUCCGGAAUUAUUGGGUUUAAAGGGUGCGUAGGCGGCCAUUUAAGUCAGCGGUGAAAUUUUGCAGCUUAACUGUAACAGUGCCGUUGAUACUGUUUGGCUAGGAUUUGGUUGUAGUGUGCGGAAUGUGUGGUGUAGCGGUGAAAUGCUUAGAUAUCACACAGAACACCGAUUGCGAAGGCAGCACACUAAGUCAUUAUUGACGCUGAGGCACGAAAGUGUGGGGAUCAAACAGGAUUAGAUACCCUGGUAGUCCACACUGUAAACGAUGAUAACUCGCUGUCGGCGAUACACAGUCGGGGCCAAGCGAAAGC